UCGAGCGGACAGAAGGGAGCUUGCUCCCGGAUGUUAGCGGCGGACGGGUGAGUAACACGUGGGUAACCUGCCUGUAAGACUGGGAUAACUCCGGGAAACCGGAGCUAAUACCGGAUAGUUCCUUGAACCGCAUGGUUCAAGGAUGAAAGACGGUUUCGGCUGUCACUUACAGAUGGACCCGCGGCGCAUUAGCUAGUUGGUGGGGUAAUGGCUCACCAAGGCGACGAUGCGUAGCCGACCUGAGAGGGUGAUCGGCCACACUGGGACUGAGACACGGCCCAGACUCCUACGGGAGGCAGCAGUAGGGAAUCUUCCGCAAUGGACGAAAGUCUGACGGAGCAACGCCGCGUGAGUGAUGAAGGUUUUCGGAUCGUAAAGCUCUGUUGUUAGGGAAGAACAAGUGCGAGAGUAACUGCUCGCACCAUGACGGUACCUAACCAGAAAGCCACGGCUAACUACGUGCCAGCAGCCGCGGUAAUACGUAGGUGGCAAGCGUUGUCCGGAAUUAUUGGGCGUAAAGGGCUCGCAGGCGGUUUCUUAAGUCUGAUGUGAAAGCCCCCGGCUCAACCGGGGAGGGUCAUUGGAAACUGGGAAACUUGAGUGCAGAAGAGGAGAGUGGAAUUCCACGUGUAGCGGUGAAAUGCGUAGAGAUGUGGGGGGAACACCAGUGGCGAAAGCGACUCUCUGGUCUGUAACUGACGCUGAGGAGCGAAAGCGUGGGGAGCGAACACGAUUAGAUACCCUGGGAGUCCACACCCUAUACGAUGAGUGCUAGAGUUAGGGGGGGGUCCGCCUCCUCAUUGCUGCAGCUAACGCAUUAAGCACUCCUCCUGCGAGUGCGGUCGGCACGAGUGAUCUCAAAUGAAUGGAUAGGAAGCGCGGCCCGCCGCUCAGCAUGACGAUUAGUUCGAAUCAGCUGACGACAUAACUAUACUGGCAUUCGCUGUCAUCGUACACUAGGACUUGGCUUCGCCCUCGAGGACGAGGACGUCGUGAGGCU
rnacentral:rRNA from 2 species